UUGCAAUUUUCGAUAUUACGAAACCACCUCAGUUAAGCACCGUUCAUAACCUUCGUUUUGGCCCUGAAUAUUUUCAGUAAUUUCGUGAUUUUUAGCGUUGAAAUUGCUAAAAUAAAUUUAUAUUAGGAAUGUUGAGGUCACUAUGCAGCUAAAAAUAAAUUAAAAUUUUAAAAUUUCCAUAAUUUUUCAAUUCCUUUAACGUGUUUUUCUGUCAUUUUGGUAACAGUGUUGAGGGAGCCUUAGGCCAGUUUCAUUUUACUGUUGACAGACCGUGAAAAAAUUGAUGCAAAUUUUUAAGGUUUAUUUAAUUAUUAUUGAAAUUAAAGGAUAUAUCAUAGGAUAUAUUUACUACAUUUCUCUCUGUACGAUAGCACUUCGGAGCUCACAUCACAAUUGAAUUUUUUCCCAUAAUCGGAAAGUUAGGUUAUUAUUGAGGAGAUAUGAAAGAAAGUUCUUGGACGUGAAUCUGUAUCAAAAUCGGAUGUAAUAACUGAUAGUUUAUUUUGUCACUAAUAAUACUUAUUUUUCAGGCACAUAUAAAUUUAUCAUAUCAAGAAAUGUAUGAAAUUCAUAAAUGUCAAAUAUCAUCUCUCGGGAAGUCUCAUUUUAAAUAAAAAAAGCUUCUUCAGGGAUUAAAUUACAUGCAAACUCAUAGAAUGAGAAACUUCCUUAUUCUUGGUGUAUGAACAUAAGAAUUUCUAGAUAACAAACGGUUCUUGGGGGCACAUAUAAAUUUAUCAGAUCAAGAAAUGUAUAAUAUCAUUUCUCGGACAGUGUUAUUUGGUAAAAAAGAGGUAGUUCAGAGUAAGUUUAUAAAGCAAUUCAUUCAGGAUAGUUUCUAUGUGAAGUAAAUGAUCUAUUUCGCUUUUUUUCAACUGAAUACAACAGAUUUCUGACAACUUUCAUGCAAUCGGGUAGUGUACGGAGAUGAUUUUCUUAGUCUAGAUCUAUGGAAAAAUGUUUUGAGAUAAGUUAUUCAUUUGGAAUGAUAUAAUGAUUAUUGAAACACAAUCUAUGAGUGAGUUUUUGCGUUAAAAUUCUAUAUUUAUAGACAUUUGUCAAGUUUUCUCAUUUAAGGUAAGAUUGUUACUCUUAUCGUAGAGAGAGGGACUCUGUAGGUUUUUGUUCAAAAUAAACUGAAUGAAAUGUUAUAAUA